CUUCAUAGAAGAAUACACAGCGAAUAUUGAACUAAAACUUUAUCGCUCAAGAAAUGUGCCAUGCUAUACUGUAUGCUAACAUUAUACGAAGCGAAUGCAUGUAAUAAUUUGUUUAGGGACAAAUGCACAAAAACGUGCAGAUCGAGCGCGUGACGUGACGUCAUCAUCGCCUGAGUCACAAUUUAAAGUGGAAGGAAAUGUGCUGAGUUGAUGUUUAGCUAUUCAAACAACAGAAAUCGUUUCUACAGGAAUAUCAGUUUUUAUAGGAACCUUUAUAAAAACGAAGUCAUGAAUUCACGUGUAGGUACUUGGUAGAAAAGGUGGAGAAGAUUUUUUAAUGUAAUUAAAUGUUGAUCAAGAGUCAGUGUCGGAGAUCAGAUUCUGUGUCAGCUGUUCAGAUUCAUCAUGGAUGAAACACAAACAUCCAGAGAUGAAGAUUUUUCUCCAGGAUGCAGUUCAGUUCAGUUAGUUCAGAUCUCAGAAGAGAUCAGAACCAGAGUCCAGCUGUGUGUCUGUGAGGAGUAACGCGUCUAUGGAUCAUAUAAUACAUUUUAAGAGUGGAGAAACACAGACUGAUCUGAGUUCAGUCCAGCAGAAAAGCUCAAACCCAGAGUCCAGCUGUGUGUCUAUGAAGAGUAACAGGUCUAUGGAUCCGCCACUAAAGUUUAAGAGUGAAGACAAACGGCCUGGUCUCAGGUCAAAUCUUCUAUCCAGACCAGUUAAAAACAAAACUGUGUACACACCUGUGAUUCAACCACAAGACUUUAAUGAAAGCAUGAAUCCUGGUUUCAGCCAUGACUGUAGAUCUGCUGAAGUCCUCAAUACAUUGAGAUCAAAUCUGAGAAAGAACUUUGAGUGUUUGUAUGAGGGAAUAUCAAAGCAGGGAAACCCAACACUCCUGAAUGAGAUCUACACAGAGCUCUACAUCACAGAGAGUGAAAGUGAAGAAAUCAAUAAUGAGCAUGAGGUGAGACAGAUUGAGACACAGUCCAGGAGAGCAGAAACAGAGGACACACCGAUCAAAUGCAAUGACAUCUUUAGACCUUUACCUGGACAAGACAAACCCAUCAGAACUGUGCUGACAAAGGGAGUCGCUGGCAUUGGAAAAACAGUCUCUGUGCAGAAGUUCAUCCUGGACUGGGCUGAAGGGAAAGAGAAUCAGGACGUCCAGCUCAUAUUUCCACUUGCUUUCAGAGAGCUCAACUUGAUGAAGGACAAAACACUCAGUCUUUCAGAUCUUCUUCAUGUCUUUUUCCCUGAAACAAAGGAAAUGGAAAUAUCCAGUGACAAAUGUAAAGUGUUGUUCAUCUUUGAUGGUCUGGAUGAGUGUCGUCUGUCUCUGGAUUUUCAGAGCGAUGUGAGGUUGUGUGAUGUGACUGAAUCAGCCUCAGUGGACGUGCUGCUGAUGAACCUCAUUGCGGGGAAUCUGCUUCCCUCUGCUCUCAUCUGGAUCACCUCCAGACCAGCAGCAGUUGAUCUCCUCCCCUCUGAGUGUGUCCAUCGAGUGACAGAAGUACGAGGAUUCAGUAACCCACAGAAGGAGGAAUACUUCAGGAAGAGAAUCAGAGAUCAGAUUCUGGCCGACAGGAUCAUCUCACACCUGAAGUCAUCAAGGAGCCUCUUUAUUAUGUGUCAAAUCCCAGUGUUCUGCUGGAUCUCAGCCACUGUUCUAGAGAAGAUGUUGAGUGAAGUAGAGAGUGGAGAGAUUCCCAAGACUCUCACUCAAACGUACACACACUUCCUGAUCCUUCAGACCAACAUCAAACAUGAGAAGGACUAUGAGAAGAACGUGACAGAUGAAGACAUGAUCCUCAAACUGGGGAAAGUGGCUUUUCAGCAGCUUGUGAAAGGAAACCUGAUCUUCUAUGAGGAAGACCUGAGAGAGUGUGGCAUUGAUGUGACAGAAGCAUCAGUGUACUCAGGAUUGUGCACUCAGAUCUUCAGAGAGGAGUUGGGCUUGUAUCAGGGGAAAGUCUUCUGCUUUGUUCAUCUGAGCAUUCAGGAACAUCUAGCAGCUCUAUAUGUGCAUCUCUCCUUCACAAACAACAACACAAAUGUGUUUGACCAAAUCUUCAAACAGAGUUUGCGAUCUAAAGUUAAGGACUGGUUUCGACAAAAUUCAUCAGAAACUGUUUCGUUAUCUGAGCUGCAUCAGAGAGCUGUGAAUGAGGCUCUACAGAGUAAAAAUGGACAUCUGGAUCUUUUCCUGCGGUUUCUUCUGGGUCUGUCAGUGGAGUCUCAUCAGAUUCUCCUACAAGGACUAAUGAAACAGACAAGAAGCAGAUCAGACAGCAAUGAGGAAACCAUUGAGUUCAUCAAGAUGAAGAUCAGGACCAUUGACUCUCCUGAGAAAUCCAUCAAUCUGUUCCACUGUCUGAAUGAACUGGGUGAUAAUUCACUAGUGGAGGAAAUACAACAGUAUCUGACAUCUGGAAGAAUAAAGGAAGCCAAACUCUCUUCAUCUCAGUGGUCAGCUGUAGUUUUUAUACUGUUGACAUCAGAAAAUAGGCUGGAUGUGUUUGAUAUUAAUAAUUUUGUUAAAAGAAACAAUAAAACUGAAAAACUAAAGGUUCUUCAGAAGCUGCUGCCCGUGAUGAAAGAAUCCAGAUCUGUUCGGUUGAGGGAUUGUGGGGUUACAGAUGAAGAUUGUGCUGCUCUGACUUCAGCUCUGAGAUCAAACCCCUCACACCUGAGAGAACUAAGUCUGUCUGAGAAUAAAAUAGGAAAAUCAGUGAACGUGCUUUCUGAUGUACUACAGGAUCCUCACUGUAAACUGGAGAUACUGCGGUUGAGAUAUUGUGAUAUCACAGAUGAAGGUUGUGCUGCUCUGACUUCAGCUCUGAGAUCAAACCCCUCACACCUGAGAGAACUGAGUCUGUCUGGGAAUAAAAUAGGAAAAUCAGUGAAUCUGCUGUCUGAUGUACUACAGGAUCCUCACUGUAAACUGGAGAUACUGUGGUUGAGAUAUUGUGGCAUCACAGACAAAGGUUGUGCUGCUCUGACUUCAGCUCUGAGAUCAAACCCCUCACAGCUGAAAGAACUGGAUCUGUCUGAGAAUAAAAUAAGAAAAUCAAUAAAUCUGCUGUCUGAUGUACUACAGGAUCCUCACUGCAAACUGCAGAAACUGUGGUUGAGUUAUUGUGGUGUCACAGAUGAAGGUUGUGCUGCUCUGACUUCAGCUCUGAGAUCAAACCCCUCACACCUGAGAGAUCUGGAUCUGUCUGAGAAUAAAAUAGGAAAAUCAGUGAAUCUGCUGUCUGAUGUACUACAGGAUCCUCACUGUAAACUGGAGAUACUGAGGUUGAUGGAUUGUGGAGUUACAGAUGAAGGUUGUGCUGCUCUGACUUCAGCUCUGAGAUCAAACCCCUCACACCUGAGACAACUGGAUCUGUCAAGGAAUAAACUAGGAAAUUUGGGAGUCACGCUGCUGUCUGCUGUACUGGAGGAUCCUCACUGUAAACUGGAGAUACUGAGGUUGAGGGAUUGUGGAGUCACAGAUGAAGGUUGUGCUGCUCUGGCUUCAGCUUUGAGAUCAAACCCCUCACACCUGAGACAUCUGGAUCUGUCUGUGAAUAAACUAGGACAAUCAGGAGUGACGUUGCUGUCUGAUCUGAAGGAUGAUCCACAUUAUAAACUGAAGACAUUAAAAUAUUGCGAGUAUAUUUUCAUUUAAAGCCUUUAAAUUGACUCAAGUUCAGUAACAGCCUCAUAUGUGUGUAACUGGAGAAUAUAAGAUCAUUCAGCUCCACUUUAGUCUCUGUAAACUUUUUAAUAAGAGUUUAAUUCUGUGAUGUGAAUAUGAUCUAUGAAUACAUCAGUGUUUUCAUCUCUUACAGUGUCUCUGUGUGUAAGUGAUUAAUCAUUUACUGUUAUUAAAGGGUUCACACAAAAAUGAAAUUUCUGCCAUUAUUUACUCACCUUCAUGUUGUUCUACACCCGUAAGACCUUCAUUCAUCUUCAGAACACAAAUUAAGAUAUUUUGAUGAAAUCCGAGAGGGUUUUUUAUCCUCCAUUGAAAGCAAUGAAAUUACCACAUUCAAGGUCUAAAAAAGUAGUAAAAACAUUGUUAAAAUAGUCAACAUGACUACAAGUAGUUCAACCUUAAUGUUAUGAAGUGAAGAGAAUACUUUUAUGUCUAGAGUGGCGUAGCGUCUGGGUAUGCAGGGUAUGCACGUGCAUGGGCCCGGGCGGUUUGGGAGCCCACUAUUACGGGCUUAACCCCAAAGUAAGCUUAUACUUAGGGCGUCCGGGUACCGUCCGCGUCGCGUAAUUUUCAUCAUCAGGAGGGUUCACGGACGUCUGCACACCCCAUCUGCGUGCAGCCCAAUUUUUGAAAUGAAAUUAAAUGUUGUCAAUAACUUGCCUUUAUCUAUAUUAAAUGUACUAAAAAUCAUUAAGAAGCUGAAAAAAAUGGACCAUAAAAUGGUCCAUGCCAUGUCUUAGCGAUGAUCUAUUGUAUUUGACCAGUAUUCGCUUUUCUGUCAUUUUUAAAGUGGGUUUCUGAAACUUAUGCAUGCAGUACAGAAUCUUAAAUGAUUCAUAUUAGUUUUCUGAAAAAACGGCUACGUCUGCACAUUUUAAGAUACUGCACAAGAUAUGAAUAAAUGUAACUCGUACACUUCCUGGGGUGGAUAGGCUACUUUUUAUUCAACAAAAUAAAAUGCACAUAAAACGUGAUGGAAACAUAUUUGGAGAAGAAACUUCUAGUAAAUUUAUUAGGAAUAAAACGUGCAUUAAAAAAGUUUGUGACAGAAUAAUGAAUUCAUAACUGGAAUAAUAUUCAGACUCAUCGCAUCUGAAAUGAUGCUAUCAUUCUGAAAUUCCAAAGCCUGAGUCGAAUCAGUCGAAUUCAAACCAACCAACUGUAUGUUUUAUUGUAGGACUCUCAGUAUUUAGAAGUCAGUUCAGUUUCCUCAGGAUCAGCUGAUGGUGAAUAAGGAGCUGCUACAGAGAUGAAGACACAGAGACACACAGCGAUCACACUGACAUGUGUGCUUGAAUUUUAUAGUAAAGCUCAUGAAAAUGAGUGCUGAAAACAGCAACUUCUUUUAUUGUUUCAAAUUUGUUAGAUAUUGAUUAUAAUGUGGAUGGUGUAACACUCAAAAUACACUGCAAACGAUUAAAGCAAAGUGAAAAAACAAGCCAUAGACACAUUUAUUGUGCAAUACAGACAGUGUUGGGACAGUGUUUUAUUAAAGAGUCUGACUAAAGAAGAGACAGAUGUUGUAAAUUUGUCUACCAGCAGAGGGGCGACAAAGAUUACGCAAACAAUUUCACUGAACAUUUAUUUCUGUAAAAUAUUUUUUAUUUUUGUAUAUAAUGAUCUAUUAAAGUUUCCAUCUAAAUCUUCACAUUCUUUUACUUUUUUCUUGUUUUUUUCCUCCUGCGUCUGAACAGUUAAUUGCUUCUAUAUGUUGACACUUAUUCCUCUUGAUGGGAAGUAUUUCUAAAGCCAACAACAAACAGCAGUGAUACGACAGUGACUCUUACUUCAUUCCUCACUUUAUAUUAAAAGGAAAAGAACUGCCUUCUGUUCAUUUCAUUUUGAAAUGAAAUGUAUUUAUUGUCCAUUUUCAUGGAAAUUUGUCUUCUCAAUAAGAUCUAUAUAAGCACGUCUUUGCUCAAACCAAAACUACUUAAUUUCCUCAAAAUAUAGACUAGACUUCUUAUAAAUACAGUCCAUAUUUACAGUUAAGUUCAAAUGAUUAUCCAUAAACAAUCUAAAUAGUUAAAUUUUCAUAUAUUGUCUGGUAUAUAUUGUAUUGUAUCUGGCUAUGUUGGUGUUGUGCUGCAGAACGGGGCAAAACUUAGUUACAGAUGGAGCCUACAGUUACAUGAAACCAAAUGACACUGGAAAGAAAAUUUUCACUGCAUUCCAAAGCACUUUUUACUACACUACAUUAUAGAAAAAACAGUCUGUCGUUAUUUUUUAACUUAAGAUAUCGACACCUUCUCAGAGACCAUAGCAAAACACGAUUCGUGAACUAAUUAUAUUUUUCCGUGCGUUAUUGAUGGCUUUUUGAAAGACAUAAAAUAAAUAAUUUGCUCAUCAUCAUUCCAUGAUCUGACCUACACAAACUACAAGCACAUGACUGAAAGAUGACGAGAGCAGUUGUGGGCGGAGCGAUGCAUGUAGCCACGCCUCGAACGCGACAGGAGAGUCAGUGCUGAGAUUCUGACCGGUUCAAGCUGAAAAUGGUCAUUAAUAGUGACGCUGAGGAGGCUGUAAAGAGUGUGAAUUGCGGAGCGUCGUCGACGAAUGGCGGAUGCAGAUACACACGUGGAGACCAAAUGGACGUCCACGUGCAAAGUCAAGAGCUGAAUGAAGAGAAGAAUCACAAUGAUGUUGCAAAAAAGAAUUUAUCAAAAAACAGAAGAACUGCAAAGACCAACAAGUCUUUCACUUGCCCUGAGUGUGGAAAGAGUUUCACACUAAAAGGAAGCUUUAAAAAGCACCAGCUAAUUCAUACUGGCGAGAAGCUUCACACGUGUCUUCAGUGUGGAAAGAGUUUCAUGCUCAAAAGCCACCUUAACAGACACAUGAGAAUACACACUGGAGAGAAACCUCACGCAUGUCAACAGUGUGGAAAGAGUUUUUCACAGAAGAUUCAUCUCAGUCGUCAUCUGCGCUGUCAUGAAAAUCCAUUCAGCUGUGAUCAGUGUGGCAAGAAGUUUAGAUCCUCGUCAUAUCUCAACAAACACCUGACAGUUCACGCAGUCGAGAGGCCGUACUUGUGUCCAGUGUGUGGAAAGAGUUUUUCACGGCUGGCCAAUUGCAAAAAGCACCAGAAGAUCCAUUCUUCUGUGAAAACUCAUGCUUGUGUGGAGUGUGGCAAGACCUUCACUACACGUGAACACCUCAGAAAGCAUCUGAAAAGUCACUCUGAAGAAAGACCGUUCACAUGCGCUCAGUGUGGAUAUGGAUUCAAAGAGAAAGUCCACCUGGACAAACACAUGAGGAUUCACACUGGAGAGAAGCCGCACACAUGCCAUCAGUGUGGGAAGAGCUUCAUACAGUUGUCAGGCCUCCGUUAUCAUAUGCAUCGUCACUCUGGAGAAAAAACAUAUAAUUGUGAUCAGUGUGGGAAGAAAUUUACAUCAUCAUCAAUUCUAAAAAGGCACCUGAUGGUGCAUACGGACGAGAGGCUCCAUAAGUGCUCUUUGUGUGAAAAGAGUUUUUCACGACCGGACAAUCUGAAACAGCACCAAAAACUGCACGAUGUUGUACGGGAUCACAUGUGUUUCGAGUGUGGGAAGAGCUUUACAGCAGCGAGUCAUUUGACAAAACACCAAAGAAUUCACACUGGAGAAAAGCCGUUCAGCUGCUCCCAGUGUGGAAAGAGUUUCACACAAAAAAGCCACUUAAACAAACACAUACAUAUUCAUAGUGGUGAGGAGCCGCAAACAUCGAGUCACUAUCAUUGAUCAAAUACAUAAUCUGAGAUUCUGAGAAUGCAAAUGUUUUUAAUUUAUUGUUUGGAAAAGUUGUUUUCACUCUAUUGUUCAGAUAAAGUUGUUUUUACUUUAUUGUUCAAAAACAGUUUAUAUGAAAUAUCAAGAUGUUUUUCUUUAAUUUUGGCGAGCAGCAGAACAGAACUAUUGCAUUACUUUUCAUACAUUUAUGUAUUUUUAUUAUUGCGUUUAUUCUACAUCUUUCUUUAAUUGAAAAGCCUCAUUGUUAAGAUGCGAAAGAAGAAAUGUGUAAAAAAUCUGUGAGAAAUCUGUGCACUGCCAAUUGUAAAACUUUGUUUCAGUCUGAUAAACAAUGAUUGAUGUGAAGUUAAAACUAAACUACCAAACUAAAAACAAAGAUGAGUUAAAUAAAGACAAAUGUUUAAUAUGUUUCGUAAAGGGGGUUCAAAAACAUGCAUUUAUCACAUUAAAGGAAGAGAGAAAGUGAGAAGAUCUGUCUGGGAUGCGUAAAUCUUUUUGAAGUAAUAUCAGUAUCCGAAAUCGGUGAUCUCCAAAAUGCGUCAAGAGCAUUAAAUGUUUGGCCUACCUUCAUUUUCUUACACCAUAAUGUGAUUGAACAACAUGACUGAAUGUAUUGCUUUGCUGUCCAAAUAAAAUGAAGAGACAAACAUUGUCUCUUUUAAUAGCC